GAUGAACGCUGGCGGCGUGCCUAAUACAUGCAAGUCGAGCGAACAGACGAGAAGCUUGCUUUUCUGAUGUUAGCGGCGGACGGGUGAGUAACACGUGGAUACCCUACCUAUAAGACUGGGAUAACUUCGGGAAACCGGAGCUAAUACCGGAUAAUAUUUUGAACCGCAUGGUUCAAAAGUGAAAGACGGUCUUGCUGUCACUUCUAGAUGCAUCCGCGCUGCAUUAGCUAGUUGGUAAGGUAACGGCUUACCAAGGCAACGAUGCAUAUCCGACCUGAGAGGGUGAUCGGCCACACGGGAACUGAGCCACGGUCCAGACUCCUACGGGAGGCAGCAGUAGGGAAUCUUCCGCAAUGGGCGAAAGCCUGACGGAGCAACGCCGCGUGAGUGAUGAAGGUCUUCGGAGCGUAAAACUCUGUUAUUAGGGAAGAACAUAUGUGUAAGUAAAUGUGCACAUCUUGACGGUACCUAAUCAGAAAGCCACGGCUAACUACGUG
rnacentral:rRNA from 1 species